rnacentral:rRNA from 1 species
UACGGGGGGGGCAAGCGUUGUUCGGAAUUACUGGGCGUAAAGGGCUCGUAGGCGGCCAACUAAGUCGGAUGUGAGAUCCCCAGGCUUAACCUGGGAACUGCAUCCGAUACUGGAUGGCUUGAAUUCGGGAGAGGGAUGCAGAAUUCCAGGUGUAGCGGUGAAAUGCGUAGAUAUCUGGAGGAAUACCGGUGGCGAAGGCGGCAUCCUGGACCGACAUUGACGCUGAGGAGCGAAAGCUAGGGGAGCAAACGGG